UACAGAGGUGGCAAGCGUUGUUCGGAAUUACUGGGCGUAAAGGGCGCGUAGGCGGCCUUCUAAGUCAGACGUGAAAUCCCCCGGCUUAACCUGGGAACUGCGUCUGAUACUGGAAGGCUUGAGUGCGGGAGAGGGAUGUGGAAUUCCAGGUGUAGCGGUGAAAUGCGUAGAUAUCUGGAGGAACACCGUUGGCGAAGGCGGCAUCCUGGACCGACACUGACGCCGAGGCGCGAAAGCUAGGGUAGCAAACGGG
rnacentral:rRNA from 1 species